GCCCGUUUAGCUCAGUGGUAGAGCGCGCACCGCAAUGGUGAGGUCGGUUGUUCAAUCCAGCCAAUGGGCA
rnacentral:tRNA from 1 species